rfam:Streptomyces sp. NRRL WC-3605 P232contig38.1, whole genome shotgun sequence.
GCCGGUCCUCGGUAGUGGCCCCCGGGGGGAAGCGAUCCCCGGGUGCUUCGAUCGAAGACCGGC